rnacentral:rRNA from 1 species
CCUACGGGCGGCAGCAGUGAGGAAUAUUGCACAAUGGGCGAAAGCCUGAUGCAGCGACGCCGCGUGAGUGAAGACGUAUUUCGGUAUUUAAAGCUCUAUCUGCAGGGAAGAAAAUGACGCUACCUGACUAAGAAGCCCCGGCUAACUACGUACCAGCACCCGCUGUAAUACGGAGGGGGCAAGCGUUAUCCGGAUUUAGUGGGUGUAAAGGGGGCGUAGACGGCGAAGCAAGUCUGAAGUGAAAACCCAGGGCUCAACCCUGGGACUGCUUUGGAAACUGUUUUGCUAGAGUGUCGGAGAGGUAAGUGGAAUGCCUGGUGUAGCGGUGAAAUGCGUAGAUAUUAGGAGGAACACCAGUGGCGAAGGCGGCAUACCGG